rnacentral:rRNA from 1 species
GAUGAACGCUGGCGGCGUGCCUAAUACAUGCAAGUCGAGCGAACAGACGAGGAGCUUGCUCCUCUGACGUUAGCGGCGGACGGGUGAGUAACACGUGGAUAACCUACCUAUAAGACUGGGAUAACUUCGGGAAACCGGAGCUAAUACCGGAUAAUAUAUUGAACCGCAUGGUUCAAUAGUGAAAGACGGUUUUGCUGUCACUUAUAGAUGGAUCCGCGCCGCAUUAGCUAGUUGGUAAGGUAACGGCUUACCAAGGCAACGAUGCGUAGACGACCUGAGAGGGUGAUCGGCCACACUGGAACUGAGACACGGUCCAGACUCCUACGGGAGGCAGCAGUAGGGAAUCUUCCGCAAAGGGCGAAAGCCUGACGGAGCAACGCCGCGUGAGUGAUGAAGGUCUUCGGAUCGUAAAACUCUGUUAUUAGGGAAGAACAAAUGUGUAAGUAACUAUGCACGUCUUGACGGUACCUAAUCAGAAAGCCACGGCUAACUACGUG